rnacentral:ncRNA from 2 species
GAGGGGCGCUAGGGGUGCCGCGUAUUGGCUGAGAAGCGACAGUUGUGUCGCUAACCCUGGGACUCGAUCUGGGUCAUACCAGCGGGAGGAAGUGCCCAUCGACGAUA